UACGUAGGUGGCGAGCGUUAUCCGGAAUUACUGGGUGUAAAGGGCGUGUAGGCGGGUUCAUAAGUCAGAUGUGAAAUUCCCAGGCUCAACUUGGGCGCUGCAUCUGAAACUGUGAAUCUUGAGUGCUGGAGAGGAAAGCGGAAUUCCUAGUGUAGCGGUGAAAUGCGUAGAUAUUAGGAGGAACACCAGUGGCGAAGGCGGCUUUCUGGACAGUAACUGACGCUGAGGCGCGAAAGCGUGGGGAGCAAACAGG
rnacentral:rRNA from 1 species